GCGGGUGUAGCUCAGUUGGUUAGAGCGCCAGUUUGUGGUACUGGAUGUCGUCGGUUCGAUUCCGAUCACUCGCCCCA
rnacentral:tRNA from 5 species